GCCCGGGUGGUGGAACUGGCAGACACGGGGGGCUUAAACCCCCCUUCCCCGAGAGGGGAGUGUGGGUUCGAACCCCACCCCGGGCA
rnacentral:tRNA from 1 species